CUGGGUGGAUGAGUGGCGAACGGGUGGGUAACACGUGAGUAACCUGCCCCUUCUUUGGGAUAACGCCCGGAAACGGGUGCUAAUACUGGAUAUUCACUUGCCUCCGCAUGGGGGUUGGUGGAAAGGGUUUUUUCUGGUGGGGGAUGGGCUCGCGGCCUAUCAGCUUGUUGGUGGGGUGAUGGCCUACCAAGGCUUUGACGGGUAGCCGGCCUGAGAGGGUGACCGGUCACAUUGGGACUGAGAUACGGCCCAG
rnacentral:rRNA from 1 species